rnacentral:misc_RNA from 1 species
GUAGGUGGUUCGCCUGCGAAUUUAGUCUGCUUAGCAGGCAACAUCUUUACUGUGCUAGAAAUUACAAUUGUAUUACUAGCAGCCUGCUUAGCAGGUUCACAGAUCAAAUAGAGGUGGCCCUUAGGGGUUGAGACAUGAUCGAGUUGAUGCUGAAAUAGCACUGAGGAACUGGAACCUGCGGAAGGAUCAUUAAAGAGUCAUUAUGGGCUUACACCCUAAUACUCCACCCUUUGUUUACAUUACCUCUGUUGCUUUGGCAGGCCCGUCCUUGUGACCACUGGCUUCGGCUGGUCCGCGCCUGCCAGAGGACCUAAAACUCUUGUUUAAUCAUAUUGUCUGAGUACUAUAUAAUAGUUAAAACUUUCAACAACGGAUCUCUUGGUUCUG